rnacentral:tRNA from 1 species
GGCCCCAUAGUUAAAUGGAUAUAACUUUCCCCUCCUAUUUUUUUGGGCAACCUAGGUGAAAACUUAGGCUUGAAUGUGCUUAAAUUCGGCGAACCCCCUGUUCUUAACGAGGCAACGCCGAGCGAAGCAGUGUAACCACACUGAACGUGUAGAGACUAGACAGGCACCACCUACCUAAUACUUAUUACAGGGUGAAGGCAUAGUCCAGACCACAAAAUAAACAGCAAUGGGUUUAUGCGGUGAAAACCGUAGUGGUACGAAGGGAAGAUUGCAGGUUCGAUUCCUGCUGGGGCCGCCA